AAAUUUGCAGACCCAAAGGUUUCUAAUGGCCUCUUGUACAGUCUUAUAUCAUUUGAAUCAUCACCCCAUAUUGACAAAGACAACAAAUGGUAUAUCAGUGUUGAGGAAUGGCCACAUGAGUCAUACCCACCAUGGGCCCAUGGUCCAGGUUAUAUAAUUUCCAAAG